rnacentral:lncRNA from 1 species
UACAGACAGAGACAGAGCAUGAGAGGGGGAGGGGCAGAGAGAGAAGGAGUCACGGAACACGAAGCAGGCUCCAGGCUCUGAGCUAGCCAUCAGCACAGAGUCUGACGCGGGGCUCGAACCCACGAACGUGAGAUCUGACCUGAGCCGAAGUUGGAGGCCCAACCGACUGAGCCACCCAGGCGCCCCUGACUGGGCAGGAUUAAUCACUGGCAAAAGGAAGGAAAACUUGGAGUAGAAGAUGACACUGGUGAUGAAAUGACACGUGUGAACGGUUGCAGGGCUUUGCAAGCAGAAGGCUGCACAAAUUCAGGGUAUCACCUGUUUGGUUUAUACUCCUGAAUUAACUUUCUGCCUUCCCAGUCCACAGGUCUAAUAAAAGGUUUCACUUGGGCUAG